rnacentral:rRNA from 1 species
UACGAAGGGUGCAAGCGUUAAUCGGAAUUACUGAGCGUAAAGGGUGCGUAGGCGGUUCGUUAAGUCUGUCGUGAAAUCCCCGGGCUCAACCUGGGAAUGGCGAUGGAUACUGGCGAGCUAGAGUGUGUCAGAGGAUGGUGGAAUUCCCGGUGUAGCGGUGAAAUGCGUAGAGAUCGGGAGGAACAUCAGUGGCGAAGGCGGCCAUCUGGGACAACACUGACGCUGAAGCACGAAAGCGUGGGGAGCAAACAGG